rnacentral:rRNA from 1 species
GGAUGGGACGAUUUAGCCAUGCUAGUUGCACGAGUUCAGACUCGUAGCGAAUAGCUCAGUAACACGUGGCCAAACUACCCUUCGGAGCACCAUACCCUCGGGAAACUGAGGCUAAUAGUGCAUACCACAGUCCACCUGGAAUGAGGACUGUGCCAAACGCUCCGGCGCCGAAGGAUGUGGCUGCGGCCGAUUAGGUAGACGGUGGGGUAACGGCCCACCGUGCCAAUAAUCGGUACGGGUGGUGAGAGCCAGAACCCGGAGACGGAAUCUGAGACAAGAUUCCGGGCCCUACGGGGCGCAGCAGGCGCGAAACCUUUACACUGCACGACAGUGCGAUAAGGGGAUCCCAAGUGCGUAGGCAUAGAGCCUACGCUUUUGUCCACCGUAGGGAGGUGAACGAAUAAGGGCUGGGCAAGACCGGUGCCAGCCGCCGCGGUAAUACCGGCAGCCCGAGUGAUGGCCGAUCUUAUUGGGCCUAAAGCGUCCGUAGCUGGCCGCGCAAGUCCAUCGGGAAAUCCACCCGCCCAACGGGUGGCCGUCCGGUGGAAACUGCGUGGCUUGGGACCGGAAGGCGCGACGGGUACGUCCGGGGUAGGAGUGAAAUCCCGUAAUCCUGGACGGACCGCCGAUGGCGAAAGCACGUCGCGAGAACGGAUCCGACAGUGAGGGACGAAAGCCAGGGUCUCGAACCGGAUUAGAU